rnacentral:tRNA from 1 species
AUCUCUUUAGUAUAAAAAAUAUAUUUGACUUCCAAUCAAAAGCUCCCCGAGGGAAGAGAUA